AUUGAACGCUGGCGGAAUGCUUUACACAUGCAAGUCGAACGGCAGCACGGACUUCGGUCUGGUGGCGAGUGGCGAACGGGUGAGUAAUGUAUCGGAACGUGCCCGGUCGUGGGGGCUAACGUAGUGAAAAUUACGCUAAUACCGCAUACGAUCUCUUGAUGAAAGCGGGGGAUGGCAAGCCCUCGCUCGAUUAGAGCGUCCGAUAUCAGAUUAGGUAGUUGGUGGGGUAAAGGACCACCAAGCCAACGAUCUGUAGCUGGUCUGAGAGGACGAGCAGCCACAAUGGAACUGAGACACGGUCCAGACUCCUACGGGAGGCAGCAGUGGGGAAUUUUGGACAAUGGGCGAAAGCCUGAUCCAGCCAUUCCGCGUGCAGGAUGAAGGCCCUCGGGUUGUAAACUGCUUUUGUACAGAACGAAAAGGUUUCUACUAAUACUAGGAGCUCAUGACGGUACUGUAAGAAUAAGCACCGGCUAACUACGUGCCAGCAGCCGCAGUAA
rnacentral:rRNA from 1 species